GACAGACAAGACGUGCUGGCCUCGCUUCUUUUGCUACAAAGAGCGGCCUCCUGGGCCUCCCACCUCCUGCGCGGCGCGGGGCCGCUCAGGCAGGCUCUGGCUCCGGCUCGGGCUCGGGCCAGUCUGCAGAAGGUGCUUCCGCCGAGCAGUCCACCAGCUGUGACUCUGGUUCUGAGAUCGCUGCAGGCCAGGAGGUGGCCAAAGGCAGCUCCAAGGGCAAGGGCAAAGCUGGCUCUGGCGCCAAGGCUGGCCAGCGAAGCCCCAACCCCAAGUCCUCCAAAGGGAAGGGCGAGGAUCAGGCAGGUGACCUCCUCUUUAGGGAGAACCCCCUGCAGGGGCUGCCCCCCUUCCCUAUAGCCCCCCUAGGAGGCUCCCACACCCCACCCCUCAGCAAAGCCUCCAAGUUGGGCUCCCUUAGCUCGCCUUGCUUUUCUCUGCAUAUUUAGCAAUAAAAAAGUUCUCUUGCUCCUUUGGUGACUUUUG
rnacentral:lncRNA from 1 species